rnacentral:lncRNA from 1 species
GAGUUUUGAAUUCAUUUUGAAUUUUGUGUUUUGAGUGUUUGUUUUGAAAUUGUUGAAAAUGCGUUCUUUUUGUUAGUUUCUCAAAACAAAAAAAAAAUAAAUUUUUUUUUUUAAAUUUUGAGAAUCACCACAACACCACCUCAAAACACCCAAAAAAAAAAAAUUUUUUAAUUUUAAUUUUUAUUUUUAAAUUUUGAGAAUCACCACACUAUCUCCUCAAAAAAAAAAAAAUUUUAAUUUUUAAUUUUUUUUGAAAUUUUGAGAAUCACCACACCACCUCCUCAAAAAAAAAAAAAAAAAAAAGAAGUGUUUCCCGCGUUUUCAAUUUUUUCAAGUUUUACAUUGAAAACGCCCAAAACGACAAAAAAGUCGUUUUGUGUUUUCUUCACAAAUUUUUUUUCGUUUUCG